UAGAAUAGAUUUAUUAAUUUAUUUUUUAAAAAAUAAUUUUAUUUUAAGUAUUUUUUGAAGAAAAAAUAAUUAUAAUUAUAGUUUAUAGUAUUGAAAAAGAAUAUUGAAAUAAUUGAAAAUAAAUUAUUUUUAAAGAAAUUUUUAGUUAAUGUACCUUUUGUAUCAGGGAUUAUUAAUUAAUUAAUAUUUAUAUUAUUAAUUUCGAAAUAAAAAGAUUUAAUUUAAUAUGAUUUUUAUUGUAAUAAAAUUAUUUUUAAUAUUAAAUUGGAAUUGAAAAAUUAAUCGAUUUUUAUUAUAUCUAAUUUUUUAAGAAAUAAAUUAAAUUUAGUUUAUAUUUUUUAUGUAGUUAUUUAUAAAAUUAUAUAAUAAAGUAUAAAUAAUAUAUUAAGGGAUAAGCUUUUAUAUAAAAAUUAUAAAAAUAAAAAUAUUGUAAAUUUUAUAUAUUCUUAGAAAUAGAAAUUAUAAUUUAGUAUGUUAUAAUUUAUUAAAUUAAAGAUAAUAUUUAUUUUUUUUUAAUUAUUUUAUUAAAAUAUUUAAUUUAAUAAUAAAAUUAAAUUAAUAAUGAUAAUAUUAGUAUAUAAUAAUGUAGAGAUAUUUUAAUUAUAAUAAAUUAAAUUUAAGGAAUUCGGCAAAUUUAAUGUUCACCUGUUUAUUAAAAACAUGUCUUUUAGAAUUAAAUUUAAAGUCUAAUCUGCCCACUGAAAUUUUUAAAGGGCCGCAAUAUAUUAAUUGUGCAAAGGUAGCAUAAUCAUUAGUUUUUUAAUUGAAAGCUAGAAUGAAUGAUUGGAUGAAAUAUUUACUGUCUUAUGUUUAUUAAAAUAAAAAUUUAAAUUUUAAUUAAAAAGUUAAAAUGGUGUAAAAAGACGAGAAGACCCUAUAGAUCUUUAUAUAUUAAAUAAUUAGUAAACGUUAGAUUAAUUUUUUUUUUAAUUAUUGAUAUAUUAUAUUGGGGUAAUAAUAAAAUUUUAAAAAUUUUUAUUUUUUAUUAUCAACUAUGAUUGAUUUUUUGAUCCAAUAUUAUUGAUUAUAAAUUUAAGUUACCUUAGGGAUAACAGCGUAAUGAUUUUUGAGAGUUCUUAUUGAUAAAAUAGUUUGUGACCUCGAUGUUGAAUUAAAAUUUAUUUUGGAUGUAGGUGUUUAAGUAAUAAGGUCUGUUCGACCUUUAAUAUUUUACAUGAUUUGAGUUUAGACCGGCGUAAGCCAGGUCAGUUUCUAUCUUUUAUAAAUAAAAAUAUUUUAGUACGAAAGGAUUAAAUGUUAAAUUAAUAUAAUUGAAUAUUCAUGAAUAAUUAUAAAGGUAUU
rnacentral:rRNA from 1 species